ACCAACAGGGAUUGCCCUAGUAACGGCGAGUGAAGCGGCAACAGCUCAAAUUUGAAAUCUGGCUCUUUCAGAGUCCGAGUUGUAAUUUGUAGAGGGCGCUUUGGCUUUGGCAGCGGUCCAAGUUCCUUGGAACAGGACGUCACAGAGGGUGAGAAUCCCGUACGUGGUCGCUAGCUAUUGCCGUGUAAAGCCCCUUCGACGAGUCGAGUUGUUUGGGAAUGCAGCUCUAAAUGGGAGGUAAAUUUCUUCUAAAGCUAAAUAUUGGCCAGAGACCGAUAGCGCACAAGUAGAGUGAUCGAAAGAUGAAAAGCACUUUGGAAAGAGAGUCAAACAGCACGUGAAAUUGUUGAAAGGGAAGCGCUUGCAGCCAGACUUGCUUGCAGUUGCUCAUCCGGGCUCUUGCCCGGUGCACUCUUCUGCAGGCAGGCCAGCAUCAGUUUGGGCGGUGGGAUAAAGGUCUCUGUCAUGUACCUCUCUUCGGGGAGGCCUUAUAGGGGAGGCGACAUACCACCAGCCUAGACUGAGGUCCGCGCAUCUGCUAGGAUGCUGGCGUAAUGGCUGUAAGCGGCCCGUCUUGAAACACGGACCAAGGAGUCUAACAUCUAUGCGAGUGUUUGGGUGUCAAGCCCGAGCGCGUAAUGAAAGUGAACGGAGGUGGGAACCCGCAAGGGCGCACCAUCGACCGAUCCUGAAGUUUACGGAAGGAUUUGAGUAAGAGCAUGGCUGUUGGGACCCGAAAGAUGGUGAACUAUGCUUGAAUAGGGUGAAGCCAGAGGAAACUCUGGUGGAGGCUCGCAGCGGUUCUGACGUGCAAAUCGAUCGUCAAAUUUGGGCAUAGGGGCGAAAGACUAAUCGAUCAAGAAAUAAAC
rnacentral:rRNA from 1 species